rnacentral:rRNA from 1 species
UACGGAGGAUCCGAGCGUUAUCCGGAUUUAUUGGGUUUAAAGGGUGCGCAGGCGGGAGAUUAAGUCGGCGGUGAAAUUUUGCAGCUCGACUGUAAAAGUGCCUUCGAAACUGGUUUCCUUGAGUGUAGAUGAAGUAGGCGGAAUUUGUGGUGUAGCGGUGAAAUGCAUAGAUAUCACGAGGAACUCCGAUUGCGCAGGCAGCUUACUAAACUACUACUGACGCUCAGGCACGAAGGCGUGGGGAUCAAACAGGAUUAGAUACCCGCGUA